GAGAUGGUGUGAGUGCUACACCCUCCCCAGGAGGUAGUAGCUUACCAUAUGAAGGAGGAGAAGAGGCUUGCUGCAUCCUGCUAGCCUUCUGCUCCUCCUGCUUUUGCUAUCUUCUGUUACCUUGAACUUUGGCCUUUUAGCCAUGCCACGGUGCUUUGCAGCCAGCUGAUUGUAGACUGAAACUUCCACAAACUGUGAGCUAAAAAGUAAAGCCAACAGGACCUUCUGACAUCCCUUCCCCUCUUCCUACUGUGUUGGGAGCCACUGAAACUGGAAAUUGACCACAUGUGCAAGGCUGGAGCAUGGAGCUGGAGCAUGACCAUCCCAAGAACAAAGAGCAAGCCACGUGAAGAAGCUGCUUCAGUCCAGAGAACACCCAGCCCCAAGACAGUGGGGUUGCUAAACAGUGGGUUGCUAGGACAACAGGGUGUCAUGUGACAUGUAUUUGCUAAAAGGUAUAAAUAAAUGCCCCUGCAGUGAGGGGACAGUUCUUUCCUCCCAUCAGGAGGCUAAGGGCUCCACCUGA